AUUAGUGGCGAACGGGUGAGUAACACGUGAGUAACCUGCCCUUGACUCUAGGAUAAGCCCGGGAAACUGGGUCUAAUACUGGAUAGGAACGUCUACCGCAUGGUGGAUGUUGGAAAGAAUUUCGGUCAUGGAUGGACUCGCGGCCUAUCAGCUUGUUGGUGAGGUAAUGGCUCACCAAGGCGACGACGGGUAGCCGGCCUGAGAGGGUGACCGGCCACACUGGGACUGAGACACGGCCCAGACUCCUACGGGAGGCAGCAGUGGGGAAUAUUGCACAAUGGGCGAAAGCCUGAUGCAGCGACGCCGCGUGAGGGAUGACGGCCUUCGGGUUGUAAACCUCUUUCAGUAGGGAAGAAGCGAAAGUGACGGUACCUGCAGAAGAAGCACCGGCUAACUACGUGCCAGCAGCCGCGGUAAUACGUAGGGUGCGAGCGUUAUCCGGAAUUAUUGGGCGUAAAGAGCUCGUAGGCGGUUUGUCGCGUCUGUCGUGAAAGUCCGGGGCUUAACCCCGGAUCUGCGGUGGGUACGGGCAGACUAGAGUGCAGUAGGGGAGACUGGAAUUCCUGGUGUAGCGGUGGAAUGCGCAGAUAUCAGGAGGAAC
rnacentral:rRNA from 1 species